CCUGCACUGGUGGGGUCCCUCGGCCUGGCCUGUGCCCUUUUGCAAUCCAGGACCCCUCAGGGGAUGUUGGAGAGCCGGUUUUGGCCCAUUCCCACAGGCCAGGCCGAGGGACCCCACCAGUGCAGG
rnacentral:pre_miRNA from 1 species